rfam:Phytophthora infestans T30-4 supercont1.238 genomic scaffold, whole genome shotgun sequence.
GUGAAAUGACUUGGGAGGUGUAGAAUAAGUGGGAGGCUCUGCCGUCUGUGAAAUACCACUACUCUCAAUGUUGUUUUAC